UUAGGUCUGACCUGCCCAAUGAAAUUUUGAAUGGCCGCGGUAUUUUAACCGUGCAAAGGUAGCAUAAUCAUUAGUUUUUUAAUUAAAAGCUGGUAUGAAUGGUUGGAUGAAAAAGUGACUGUCUCUAUCUAAGUUUUUUAGAAUUUUAUUUUUAAGUAAAAAAGCUUAAAUUAUAUUAGAAGACGAGAAGACCCUAUAGAGUUUAAUUAAUUUUUGUUAUAAAGUUUUUAGUAUUUUUAAUUUUAUUAUAGUUGAUUAAUUUGAUUGGGGUGAUUUAAAAAUUUAAUAAACUUUUUUUGUAUUUAUACAUUAAUUUAUGAUUACUUGAUCCUUAAUUUAAGAUUAAUAGAUAAAAUUACCUUAGGGAUAACAGCGUUAUUUUUUUAGAGAGUUCUAAUCGAAAAAAAAGAUUGCGACCUCGAUGUUGGAUUAAAAAAAAAUUUUGGUGUAGAAGCUAAAAUAUUUAGGUCUGUUCGACCUUUAAAAUUUUACAUGAUCUGAGUUUAAACCGGCGUGAGCCAGGUUGGUUUCUAUCUCUAUUAUAAAUAAAUAUUUUAGUACGAAAGGACCGAGUAUUUAAUUAAUAGUUUUAACUUUGAAUAUAAUU
rnacentral:rRNA from 1 species